rnacentral:rRNA from 1 species
CUACGGGUUGCAGCAGUGGGGAAUAUUGGACAAUGGGGGAAACCCUGAUCCAGCAAUGCCGCGUGUGUGAAGAAGGCCUGCGGGUUGUAAAGCACUUUCGGUUGGGAGGACUGCUUCUAGCACUAAUAUUGUUGGAAGUUGACGUUACCUUCAGAAGAAGCACCGGCGUAACUCCGUGCCAGCAGCCGCGGUAGUACGGAGGGUGCAAGCGGUAAUCGGAAUUACUGGGCGUAAAGCGCGCGUAGGCGGCUAGAUCAGUCGGGUGUGAAAGCCCCGGGCUUAACCUGGGAACUGCAUCCGAUACUGGCUAGCUUGAGUACAGGAGAGGAGAGUGGAAUUCCACAUGUAGCGGUGAAAUGCGUAGAUAUGUGGAGGAACACCAAUGGCGAAGGCAGCUCUCUGGCCUGAUACUGACGCUGAGGUGCGAAAGCGUGGGGAGCAAACAGGAUUAGAUACCCCCGUAGUC